GGCAUGCGCAGCUACCAUGCAGUCGUACGAGAAGGUUCCUUCGGGAACUGGAGAGUGGCGCACGGGUGAGUAACGCGUGGGGACCUACCUCUUAGUGGGGGAUAACGGUUGGAAACGACCGCUAAUACCGCAUACGCCCUUCGGGGGAAAGAUUUAUCGCUAAGAGAUGGACCCGCGUUGGAUUAGAUAGUUGGUGAGGUAACGGCUCACCAAGUCAGCGAUCCAUAGCUGGUUUGAGAGGAUGAUCAGCCACACUGGGACUGAGACACGGCCCAGACUCCUACGGGAGGCAGCAGUGGGGAAUAUUGGACAAUGGGCGCAAGCCUGAUCCAGCCAUGCCGCGUGAGUGAAGAAGGCCUUCGGGUUGUAAAGCUCUUUCAGAUGCGAAGAUGAUGACGGUAACAUCAGAAGAAGCCCCGGCUAAUUUCGUGCCAGCAGCCGCGGUAAUACGAAAGGGGCAAGCGUUGUUCGGAUUUACUGGGCGUAAAGGGCACGCAGGCGGUCCUGCCAGUCAGGGGUGAAAGCCCGGGGCUCAACCCCGGAACUGCCUCUGAUACUGCAGGACUAGAGACUAGGAGAGGGUGGUGGAAUUCCCAGUGUAGAGGUGAAAUUCGUAGAUAUUGGGAGGAACACCAGAGGCGAAGGCGGCCACCUGGACUAGAUCUGACGCUCAGGUGCGAAAGCGUGGGGAGCAAACAGGAUUAGAUACCUGUGGUUAGUCA
rnacentral:rRNA from 1 species